AUUGAACGCUGGCGGCAGGCUUAACACAUGCAAGUCGAGCGGGGAAGGUUGCUUCGGUAACUGACCUAGCGGCGGACGGGUGAGUAAUGCUUAGGAAUCUGCCUAUUAGUGGGGGACAACAUCUCGAAAGGGAUGCUAAUACCGCAUACGUCCUACGGGAGAAAGCAGGGGACCUUCGGGCCUUGCGCUAAUAGAUGAGCCUAAGUCGGAUUAGCUAGUUGGUGGGGUAAAGGCCUACCAAGGCGACGAUCUGUAGCGGGUCUGAGAGGAUGAUCCGCCACACUGGGAAUGAGACACGGCCCAGACUCCUACGGGAGGCAGCAGUGGGGAAUAUUGGACAAUGGGGGGAACCCUGAUCCAGCCAUGCCGCGUGUGUGAAGAAGGCCUUUUGGUUGUAAAGCACUUUAAGCGAGGAGGAGGCUACUGGUAUUAAUACUACCGGAUAGUGGACGUUACUCGCAGAAUAAGCACCGGCUAACUCUGUGCCAGCCGCCGCCGUAAGAC
rnacentral:rRNA from 1 species